rnacentral:rRNA from 1 species
UACGAAGGGGGCUAGCGUUGCUCGGAAUUACUGGGCGUAAAGCGCACGUAGGCGGUCUUUUAAGUCGGCGGUGAAAGCCCGGAGCUCAACUCCGGAACUGCCAUUGAAACUGUGAGACUGGAGUACGAGAGAGGUGAGUGGAAUUCCCAGUGUAGAGGUGAAAUUCGUAGAUAUUGGGAAGAACACCGGUGGCGAAGGCGGCUCACUGGCUCGUAACUGACGCUCAGGCGCGACAGCGUGGGGAUCGAAACAGG